UCCCAUUACUGCAGGAUGCAAGAGGAGAGGGGGAGUGGACUAUGAUGGCAUUGGGGGUCUGCUCUUCAGCCCUGCCCCAACCGGAGGAUCUAUGAGCUCAUUAUCCGCCUGUUAAAGUCUUAGUUAGAGGAGUCAUCAGUGAGAAUCCAAGCUGCAUCCCUAAGAGGGUGUGGGAAGGAAAGCCCUCAGGUCUUGGUCAUAGAUGAAGCACAAGUUUCCACUGAGAUCUGAUCUCUAUCCGAGACCCACGUUGUGGGCUGCAGCCUUUGGGAGAGAAGCCGCAGCCCACGAUGCAGCUGGAACGACAACGGGAUGACUGGAUGGCUGCCCGGGGCUGCCCUCUAAAUCAUCUCAGCCAAUCAAGCACUUAAUGUUCUCUGUUCCUCAAGAAUGUUGCACCUCAGCGCUCCCCAUGUAUCUCUCAAAUUUUAUCUUGAAUAUCUUAUAAAUCAU
rnacentral:lncRNA from 1 species